rnacentral:lncRNA from 1 species
GGCGGUGUCACCGAACUCUGCACCGGUGUACUGAGGUGAACAGCAUCCCCCAAAAUUCAUGUCCUUCCCAGGACCUCAGAAUCCAGCCUUCUUUGCAAAUCAGAUCAUUGUGAAAGUUCUAAGUUAAAACGGGGUCAUGCUGGGGUAGGGAGGGUCCUUAAUUCAAUAUGACUUGUGUCCUUCUGAGACACAGAGGCACAUGGGGGGCCAAGUGACAACAGAGGCAGCGAUUGGAGUGCAGGGCCACAGGCCGAGGAAGGCCGCCAACCACCGGAGCUGGGGACGGGCAGGGAACAGAGUCCUGCUCUGAGGCCCCAGAAGGAACAACCCUGACGACGCCUUGAUUUCUGCCUUCUCGGCUCCAGAACCAAGAGGGAGCCCAUUGCUGGUGUUUUCGGCCCUCCAGUUUGUGGUGAUUUGUUCCACAGCCCCUAAAAAACAAAUACAACCAGUUGGGAAUACUCAGUCACGAGCAACAAGAAUCCCCACAGCGUCUCCACGUGGCUGCACGUAUUGGAUGGAGAUCACGCCCAGGAUUCCUGCAGGAAGAAAGCAGACGGCUGAGAGCCUCCUCUUUGUAUUCGGCAAGACCAGGCUCCGUAGCCCUCAGGGAAACAUUUGACCAGAACUGCGGUGUGUGGGCCCCACUGUUUGCUAGAGAGCCUGAGAGAUGAGUCAUUGGUUUCUAGCCUGGAGAAAGACGCCUGCGAGGCGAGACUGUCAGGGUCUCUGCCGCCCUCCCCAGGAGCUGUGUCCCUGAGUGUGGAGAUCUCAUCAGGUGAUGAGUGAGGCCCCUCCUCCUCCUUCAGUUUCCUGCUCCUGCCCAGGCCUCCGCCAGCUCCCAGUGUCCUUGGGCGAGUGCUGCGGGGACCCUGAACCGCACAUGGCUGGGGCUCCUCACCCUGCAGCCCCUCACUGCCUCACCGUGCACAUCCGCGUCUCACACCAGCGGCCAUGUGGGCCUCAAAAGGGCAAACCUGACGGUGCCUCUUGCGGCUGAUAACUCUCCAGACCAUUGACCUGGCGCAACAGGAUCACCUGGGAGGUGCUGGGCCAGCCCAGCCACUGAACGGGCAGCUCUGCCUGGGUGCGGCCCAGCAAGAGCUAGUUCUUAAAAUCACCUAGGAGCUCGGACGUGUGGCUGGCUCUGCGAGGCCCAGAACUACAGGAUCAAGCCCCUGAGGGGCCUUCCCUGGUUGGUGCCCUCCUCCCCCUCCAGCCCAUCUCCACCCUGGACCCCUGCUGCCCAUCCCAACUUCUUGAUUCCCCUGAGCACUGACUGGUUGUUUGUGCCUUGUUCCUCACUGUCCCACAUCCCAAGGCACCGACUCCUCCAAGCCUGCCUCCCACUCCACUCCCACUUCACUCCCCGCCCAUGCCCUUACCGGGCAUGAGUUCCUCCACCCCCCAGCGCAGGCCCCGGCCUCCUCCUGGCCUCUCUGCUUCUCCCCUUCCCAGUCACCUCUUCCUUGCCACCUCCUCCAUGCACAUGGCGCCCUCCGUGGCUGGUGACUCCCUGACACCAGGAUCCCAGUCUCGCUCAUCGUGCAUCCCUCAGCCCAGCGCAGGGACUGGAGAGCUCGGAUCAACUUACAGCUCCCACCUGCUUGGGCCGGUGCUGGAUCUGGGGCUACA